CGUGUAGGCGGCCCGGUAAGUCCGCUGUGAAAGUCGGGGGCUCAACCCUCGAAAGCCGGUGGAUACUGUCGGGCUAGAGUACGGAAGAGGCGAGUGGAAUUCCUGGUGUAGCGGUGAAAUGCGCAGAUAUCAGGAGGAACACCAAUUGCGAAGGCAGCUCGCUGGGACGCUACUGACGCUGAGACGCGAAAGCGUGGGGAGCAAACA
rnacentral:rRNA from 1 species